AGAGUUUGAUCCUGGCUCAGGAUGAACGCUAGCUACAGGCUUAACACAUGCAAGUCGAGGGGCAGCAUGGUCUUAGCUUGCUAAGGCCGAUGGCGACCGGCGCACGGGUGAGUAACACGUAUCCAACCUGCCGUCUACUCUUGGACAGCCUUCUGAAAGGAAGAUUAAUACAAGAUGGCAUCAUGAGUCCGCAUGUUCACAUGAUUAAAGGUAUUCCGGUAGACGAUGGGGAUGCGUUCCAUUAGAUAGUAGGCGGGGUAACGGCCCACCUAGUCUUCGAUGGAUAGGGGUUCUGAGAGGAAGGUCCCCCACAUUGGAACUGAGACACGGUCCAAACUCCUACGGGAGGCAGCAGUGAGGAAUAUUGGUCAAUGGACGAGAGUCUGAACCAGCCAAGUAGCGUGAAGGAUGACUGCCCUAUGGGUUGUAAACUUCUUUUAUAAAGGAAUAAAGUCGGGUAUGCAUACCCGUUUGCAUGUACUUUAUGAAUAAGGAUCGGCUAACUCCGUGCCAGCAGCCGCGGUAAUACGGAGGAUCCGAGCGUUAUCCGGAUUUAUUGGGUUUAAAGGGAGCGUAGAUGGAUGUUUAAGUCAGUUGUGAAAGUUUGCGGCUCAACCGUAAAAUUGCAGUUGAUACUGGAUAUCUUGAGUGCAGUUGAGGCAGGCGGAAUUCGUGGUGUAGCGGUGAAAUGCUUAGAUAUCACGAAGAACUCCGAUUGCGAAGGCAGCUUGCUGGACUGUAACUGACGCUGAUGCUCGAAAGUGUGGGUAUCAAACAGGAUUAGAUACCCUGGUAGUCCACACAGUAAACGAUGAAUACUCGCUGUUUGCGAUAUACAGCAAGCGGCCAAGCGAAAGCGUUAAGUAUUCCACCUGGGGAGUACGCCGGCAACGGUGAAACUCAAAGGAAUUGACGGGGGCCCGCACAAGCGGAGGAACAUGUGGUUUAAUUCGAUGAUACGCGAGGAACCUUACCCGGGCUUAAAUUGCAGAUGAAUUACGGUGAAAGCCGUAAGCCGCAAGGCAUCUGUGAAGGUGCUGCAUGGUUGUCGUCAGCUCGUGCCGUGAGGUGUCGGCUUAAGUGCCAUAACGAGCGCAACCCUUGUUGUCAGUUACUAACAGGUUCCGCUGAGGACUCUGACAAGACUGCCAUCGUAAGAUGUGAGGAAGGUGGGGAUGACGUCAAAUCAGCACGGCCCUUACGUCCGGGGCUACACACGUGUUACAAUGGGGGGUACAGAGGGCCGCUACCACGCGAGUGGAUGCCAAUCCCCAAAACCUCUCUCAGUUCGGACUGGAGUCUGCAACCCGACUCCACGAAGCUGGAUUCGCUAGUAAUCGCGCAUCAGCCACGGCGCGGUGAAUACGUUCCCGGGCCUUGUACACACCGCCCGUCAAGCCAUGAAAGCCGGGGGUACCUGAAGUGCGUAACCGCAAGGAGCGCCCUAGGGUAAAACUGGUGAUUGGGGCUAAGUCGUAACAAGGUAGCCGUACCGGAAGGUGCGGCUG
rnacentral:rRNA from 1 species